rnacentral:rRNA from 1 species
AACGAACGCUGGCGGCAUGCCUAACACAUGCAAGUCGAACGAGACCUUCGGGUCUAGUGGCGCAUGGGUGCGUAACGCGUGGGAACCUGCCCUUAGGUUCGGAAUAACUCCCCGAAAGGGGUGCUAAUACCGGAUAAUGUCUUCGGACCAAAGAUUUAUCGCCUUUGGAUGGGCCCGCGUUGGAUUAGCUAGUUGGUAGGGUAAAAGCCUACCAAGGCGACGAUCCAUAGCUGGUCUGAGAGGAUGAUCAGCCACACUGGGACUGAGACACGGCCCAGACUCCUACGGGAGGCAGCAGUGGGGAAUAUUGGACAAUGGGCGAAAGCCUGAUCCAGCAAUGCCGCGUGAGUGAUGAAGGCCUUAGGGUUGUAAAGCUCUUUUACCCGGGAUGAUAAUGACGGUACCGGGAGAAUAAGCUCCGGCUAACUCCGUG